rnacentral:rRNA from 1 species
GUCCCUAUCACUAUCUAGCGAACCCACAGCCAAGGAACGGGCUUGGCAGAAUCAGCGGGGAAAGAAGACCCUGUUGAGCUUGACUCUAGUCCGACUUUGUGAAAUGUCUUUGGAGGUGUAGCAUAAGUGGAGGGUUAACCGAUCUUGAAAUACCACUACUCUGAACGAUAUUUUACUUAUUUGAUUAAAUAAGAAUGUUGGUGAAAGCCAAUAUUUCUAGUAUUAAACAUCCACUAGGGUGUAACUUAUUUCAAAGACAUAGUCAGGUGGGGAGUUUUGGCUGGGGCGGCACAUCUGUUAAAAUGAUAACGCAGGUGUCCAAAGAUGAGCUCAAUGAGAACAGAAAUCUCAUGUAGAACAAAAAGGGGUAAAAAGCUCAUUUUGAUUUUUGAUUUUUCAGUAGUAAUUCAAAACCGUGAAAAGCGUGGC